rnacentral:rRNA from 1 species
CCCCUAGUAACUGCGAGUGAAGCGGGAAAAGCUCAAAUUUAAAAUCUGGUGGUCUUUGGCCAUCCGAGUUGUAAUUUAGAGAAGCGUCUUCCGCGCUGGACCGUGCAUAAGUCUCCUGGAAUGGAGCGUCAUAGAGGGUGAGAAUCCCGUCUUUGGCACGGACCCCCAGGGCUUCUGUGAGGCGCUCUCGAAGAGUCGAGUUGUUUGGGAAUGCAGCUCAAAAUGGGUGGUGAACUCCAUCUAAAGCUAAAUAUUGGCGAGAGACCGAUAGCGAACAAGUACCGUGAGGGAAAGAUGAAAAGCACUUUGGAAAGAGAGUGAAACAGUACGUGAAAUUGUUGAAAGGGAAACGCUUAAAGUCAGUCGCGUCGACCGAGACUCAGCCUCGCCUUGGCUUGGCGUACUUCUCGGCUGACGGGUCAGCAUCAAUUUUGAUUCUUGGAUAAUGGCGGGAGAAAGGUGGCACCUUUAUAGGUGUGUUAUAGUCUCCCGUCGCAUGCAAGGGUUGGGAUUGAGGAACUCAGCACGCACCUCUUGGUGUCGGGGCCUCGGCUCACGUUACGUGCUUAGGAUGUUGGCGUAAUGGCUUUAAACGACCCGU